GAUGAAGAACGUAGCGAAAUGCGAUAAGUAAUGUGAAUUGCAGAAUUCAGUGAAUCAUCGAAUCUUUGAACGCACCUUGCGCCCUUUGGCUAUUCCGAAGGGCAUGCCUGUUUGAGUAUCAUGAACACCUCAACUCUCAUGGCUUGCCAUGAUGAGCUUGGACUUUUGGGGGUCUUGCUGGCCUGUGGUCAGCUCCUCUCAAAUGAAUUAGCCUGCCAGUGUUUGGUGGUAUCACAGGUGUGAUAACUAUCUACGCUUGUGGUUUUCCACCAGGUAACCUUCAGUGAUGAAGGUUCGCUGGGGCUCAUAAACGUCUCUCCUCAGUGAGGACAGCUCUUUGAACGUUUGAUCUCAAAUCAGGUAGGACUACCCGCUGAACUUAAGAAUAUCAAUAAGCGGAGGA
rnacentral:misc_RNA from 1 species